UACAGAAAAAGAAAAUUAGGAAAGCACAAACCUUGGUUCUCGCUGGUGAUCAUGAUUAUGGAUCGAUCGAUGAAACACAAAUUCGUCUGCUUCCUCCGCAGUCGAAUUGUAGUUUUAAAGCCAAAGAAUCUGCCAACUGGUCGUCAAUUUCACUAUCCCUCUCUUGGCCAUCGUCCUUCUCCGUCGUGUAAUCAUAUCCUUCGCCGCCGUUGAAAGAAUCCUUGGGUGAAAGCGUUUCGGUGGCGAGAUCUUUGAUCGUGUGAAAUUAGGGAGUCACGAACUAAAAAGUGAACUCGAUUGAUUGAAGAUUGUUGUCACGAGAGAAGGAAAGCACAUCAGUGAUCAGUCUCGCAGGGAAAUUGCAGGUAAAAAAAGAAAGAAGAAGAAGAAGAAGAAGAAG